rnacentral:misc_RNA from 1 species
UUGAUUCAUUAUGAAUUUUUACUCAGACAGUAUACAGUAAACAAAAAAAUACAUAAGAGUUUGAGUCCCCCGGCGGGCGCCUGUUUCCGGGGGGUCGGGCAGGGGGACCUGACGGCCACACCUGUCGUUUCCCCGGGGCAAUGACCCGCCGAAGCAACAGUAAAGGUAUAAGUUCACAGGGGUUUGGGAGUUGUAAACUCGGUAAUGAUCCCUCCGCUGGUUCACCAACGGAGA